UGCAUCCAUUGAAAUAUAUAUAAUCCAGGCAAUAUGACUAUUUGUCCCUUGUCCUAAAUUUUCCAGAAUACUUUUCAUUGUCAUUUUGAAUUAUCAUAACAGUCCUGA